UAGAUAUGGGAUUCCCAAUUUCCCAUUCAGUAACAUCUGUUAUGCUUCAUUUUCAAUAACUACAGAUGCUUUGCCACAUUUUUGCACUUGCAUUUUUUUCACUGUAAACAGCAAAGUAAGGUGCUAGAUCCCGUAAUUCACAAGUCUCACAAAAAUAAAACUAAAAAAAAUAAAAAAUAGUUAACGUGUGAUAAGUACAUUGUUACCAGAUACAUGGCAUGGGCCAAGACAUAUAUAACGACAUUGAUAUGAAUUUCCAGUGAACAUUUAAGACAUUUUUCUGUUGUCCCUUGAGAACAUUUAGUCAUUUACCCAUUUCUAGGAUUAAAUUCAUCAAUCCCUAUGGUUCAUUGUUCCCAUUUUUAUGCCCAUUUCUGUAAUUGAUGCAGACAACUACUUUAAAAAAGGUGAUGAUAUUUUAAGCCCAAAGACCCCCUUCAAAAUCAAAUCCCUUUCUAGGUAAAAAUUUUAAAAUUGAUUUUCUGAAUAAUGAAAUACAAUUGAAACCAAAAAUUUUUUUUAAUGAAUUUUUCGUAAGUGAAGGCGUGUGCAUGGACAUCGACAAAUCACAAAUAAUUACAGAAUAUGCUUAUAAACAUCUAAUUAAAAGAAAUCCGACCAAUUCAUUAUGCGUAAGUUUCCGGUGAACUCACUCAAAUGGGUCUUUGGUGGAUCCUUUGUUUUGCUCCUCAGAACCCUUAAUUUCACUCGAAACACCCUUCAAAAAAGAAAAAAGAACGCAGUGAUCACGUGCCUAAAAAGCUUAUUGAGAAAAACAAAAAGUUUAAUGCCGCCACAUAACGAGAUGAAGGAACGCAGCAGUUGUUGAUGUUGUUUUGGAAAAGGAAAAGAAGUGUUAGAAGGGUGACUGAGCCUAAAUUCCAUUAGAUUUUUUAUCCUUUUUUGGG
rnacentral:lncRNA from 1 species